GAUGAACGCUAGCGGCAGGCUUAACACAUGCAAGUCGAGGGGUAUUGGUUUUCGGACCAAGAGACCGGCGCACGGGUGCGUAACGCGUAUGCAAUCUACCUUUUGCAGAGGGAUAGCCCCAGAGAAAUUUGGAUUAAUACCUCAUAGUAUAGUACUUUGGCAUCAAGGAACUAUUAAAGUCACAACGGCAAAAGAUGAGCAUGCGUCCAUUAGCUAGUUGGUAAGGUAACGGCUUACCAAGGCUACGAUGGGUAGGGGUCCUGAGAGGGAGAUCCCCCACACUGGUACUGAGACACGGACCAGACUCCUACGGGAGGCAGCAGUGAGGAAUAUUGGACAAUGGGCGCAAGCCUGAUCCAGCC
rnacentral:rRNA from 1 species